rnacentral:rRNA from 1 species
UGCGCAGGCGGAAUGAUAAGUCAGUGGUGAAAUCCUACGGCCUAACCGUAGAACUGCCAUUGAUACUGUCAUUCUUGAGUACAUAUGAAGUGGGCGGAAUGUGUCAUGUAGCGGUGAAAUGCAUAGAUAUGACACAGAACACCGAUAGCGAAGGCAGCUCACUAAAUUGUAACUGACGCUCAUGCACGAAAGCGUGGGGAGCAAACAGGAUUAGAUACCCUGGUAGUC